GACGAACGCUGGCGGCGUGCUUAACACAUGCAAGUCGAACGGAAAGGCCCUGCUUUUGUGGGGUGCUCGAGUGGCGAACGGGUGAGUAACACGUGAGUAACCUGCCCUUGACUUUGGGAUAACUUCAGGAAACUGGGGCUAAUACCGGAUAGGAGCUCCUGCUGCAUGGUGGGGGUUGGAAAGUUUCGGCGGUUGGGGAUGGACUCGCGGCUUAUCAGCUAGUUGGUGGGGUAGUGGCUUACCAAGGCUUUGACGGGUAGCCGGCCUGAGAGGGUGACCGGCCACAUUGGGACUGAGAUACGGCCCAGACUCCUACGGGAGGCAGCAGUGGGGAAUAUUGCACAAUGGGCGGAAGCCUGAUGCAGCAACGCCGCGUGCGGGAUGACGGCCUUCGGGUUGUAAACCGCUUUCGCCUGUGACGAAGCGUGAGUGACGGUAAUGGGUAAAGAAGCACCGGCUAACUACGUGCCAGCAGCCGCGGUGAUACGUAGGGUGCGAGCGUUGUCCGGAUUUAUUGGGCGUAAAGGGCUCGUAGGUGGUUGAUCGCGUCGGAAGUGUAAUCUUGGGGCUUAACCCUGAGCGUGCUUUCGAUACGGGUUGACUUGAGGAAGGUAGGGGAGAAUGGAAUUCCUGGUGGAGCGGUGGAAUGCGCAGAUAUCAGGAGGAACACCAGUGGCGAAGGCGGUUCUCUGGGCCUUUCCUGACGCUGAGGAGCGAAAGCGUGGGGAGCGAACAGGCUUAGAUACCCUGGUAGUCCACGCUGUAAACGGUGGGUACUAGGUGUGGGGUCCAUUCCACGGGUUCCGUGCCGUAGCUAACGCUUUAAGUACCCCGCCUGGGGAGUACGGCCGCAAGGCUAAAACUCAAAGGAAUUGACGGGGCCCCGCACAAGCGGCGGAGCAUGCGGAUUAAUUCGAUGCAACGCGUAGAACCUUACCUGGGUUUGACAUGGAUCGGGAGUGCUCAGAGAUGGGUGUGCCUCUUUUGGGGUCGGUUCACAGGUGGUGCAUGGCUGUCGUCAGCUCGUGUCGUGAGAUGUUGGGUUAAGUCCCGCAACGAGCGCAACCCUUGUUCACUGUUGCCAGCACGUUAUGGUGGGGACUCAGUGGAGACCGCCGGGGUCAACUCGGAGGAAGGUGGGGAUGACGUCAAGUCAUCAUGCCCCUUAUGUCCAGGGCUUCACGCAUGCUACAAUGGCUGGUACAGAGAGUGGCGAGCCUGUGAGGGUGAGCGAAUCUCGGAAAGCCGGUCUCAGUUCGGAUUGGGGUCUGCAACUCGACCUCAUGAAGUCGGAGUCGCUAGUAAUCGCAGAUCAGCAACGCUGCGGUGAAUACGUUCCCGGGGGCU
rnacentral:rRNA from 1 species